UACGGGGGGGGCAAGCGUUGUUCGGAAUUACUGGGCGUAAAGGGCUCGUAGGUGGCCAACUAAGUCAGACGUGAAAUCCCUCGGCUUAACCGGGGAACUGCGUCUGAUACUGGAUGGCUUGGGUUCGGGAGAGGGAUGCGGAAUUCCAGGUGUAGCGGUGAAAUGCGUAGAUAUCUGGAGGAACACCGGUGGCGAAGGCGGCAUCCUGGACCGACACUGACACUGAGGAGCGAAAGCCAGGGGAGCAAACGGG
rnacentral:rRNA from 1 species